UACAGGGGGGCAAGCGUUGUUCGGAAUUACUGGGCGUAAAGGGCUCGUAGGUGGCCAACUAAGUCGGACGUGAAAUCCCUCAGCUUAACUGGGGAACUGCGUCCGAUACUGGAUGGCUUGAGUUUGGGAGAGGGAUGCGGAAUUCCAGGUGUAGCGGUGAAAUGCGUAGAUAAUCUGGAGGAACACCGGUGGCGAAGGCGGCAUCCUGGACCAACACUGACACUGAGGAGCGAAAGCCAGGGGAGCAAAC
rnacentral:rRNA from 1 species